CCGGGAUAGCUCAGCUGGUAGAGCAGAGGACUGAAAAUCCUCGUGUC
rnacentral:tRNA from 1 species